CGGGUGAGUAACGCGUAGGUAACCUGCCUAUUAGCGGGGGAUAACUAUUGGAAACGAUAGCUAAUACCGCAUAAUAUUAAUUAUUGCAUGAUAAUUGAUUGAAAGAUGCAAGCGCAUCACUAGUAGAUGGACCUGCGUUGUAUUAGCUAGUUGGUAAGGUAAGAGCUUACCAAGGCGACGAUACAUAGCCGACCUGAGAGGGUGAUCGGCCACACUGGGACUGAGACACGGCCCAGACUCCUACGGGAGGCAGCAGUAGGGAAUCUUCGGCAAUGGACGAAAGUCUGACCGAGCAACGCCGCGUGAGUGAAGAAGGUUUUCGGAUCGUAAAGCUCUGUUGUAAGUCAAGAACGUGUGUGAGAGUGGAAAGUUCACACAGUGACGGUAGCUUACCAGAAAGGGACGGCUAACUACGUGCCAGCAGCCGCGGUAAUACGUAGGUCCCGAGCGUUGUCCGGAUUUAUUGGGCGUAAAGGGAGCGCAGGCGGUCAGGAAAGUCUGGAGUAAAAGGCUAUGGCUCAACCAUAGUGUGCUCUGGA
rnacentral:rRNA from 1 species